UACAGAGGUCUCAAGCGUUGUUCGGAUUCAUUGGGCGUAAAGGGUGCGUAGGCGGUCUUGUAAGUUCCGUGUGAAAUCCCUCGGCUCAACUGAGGAACCGCACGGAAAACUGCUUGGCUUGAGUUCGGGAGUGGGAAGCGGAAUUCCGGGUGUAGCGGUGAAAUGCGUAGAUAUCCGGAGGAACACCGGUGGCGAAGGCGGCUUCCUGGACCGACACUGACGCUGAGGCGCGAAAGCUAGGGGAGCAAACGGG
rnacentral:rRNA from 1 species